rnacentral:rRNA from 1 species
UCCUGGCUCAGAUUGAACGCUGGCGGCAGGCUUAACACAUGCAAGUCGAGCGGAGACUUCGGUCUUAGCGGCGAACGGGUGAGUAAUACCUAGGAAUCUGCCUAUUAGUGGGGGAUAACAGUUGGAAACGACUGCUAAUACCGCAUACGCCCUACGGGGGAAAGGAGGGGACCUUCGGGCCUUUCGCGAUUGGAUGAACCCAGGUGGGAUUAGCUAGUUGGUGGGGUAAUGGCUCACCAAGGCGACGAUCCCUAGCUGGUCUGAGAGGAUGAUCAGCCACACUGGAACUGAGACACGGUCCAGACUCCUACGGGAGGCAGCAGUGGGGAAUAUUGCACAAUGGGGGAAACCCUGAUGCAGCCAUGCCGCGUGUGUGAAGAAGGCCUUCGGGUUGUAAAGCACUUUCAGCGAGGAGGAAAGGUUGGCACCUAAUACGUGUCAACUGUGACGUUACUCGCAGAAGAAGCACCGGCUAACUCCGUG